GGAGAAAGGGUUGGCUGUGUUCCGUCUCUCUCCCCUGUUAUCUUCUCUAUCCUCUCCCUCCCUCGCCACCGACUCCAAUCCUCCAAAAUCUUGUCCAUUAAGCGAUCAAAACCACCUCGCUCUCAUCCAACCUCCUCUUAAGCACCCACCACGGCCUCUACUAUUAUUCUCUUUCAAUUUCUCCGAUCAACUCACAAGGUUUAGAUGGAUAUGGAGACGGAAAACAGGAUAGCUGCAAUUCUUAUGAAAGAGGCAGCAGAAUUGGGCGACAAGCUGAGAAGGGUGGUGUGCAUGUUUAUCUUAGGCAGCCCAAUGUUAGGGGUCAGUCGAAUUCACAUUUUCCUCACAGUGACUGUUCUUGGUGUACAACAGGGUUAGUUCUGUAGUUGUUUAAGUAUAAAAUAAAUUAUAGUGUGAUUCCAUAAUUAUAAAGACUGCAUGUGUAAUUUAACAUUACUAUAUCUAUAUAGUUCUGAUGGCACCAGCUUGGUGCCCCCUUCAGCCAACCUAAUUUGUAUUUUUCGAGGCUUGGAAUUAAUAUUUUAUGUUUCUUAUUAAAUGAAAUGGAUUUAAGAA